GACGAACGCUGGCGGCGUGCUUAACACAUGCAAGUCGAACGGUGAAGCGCCUUCCUUUUUGGUGGGUGUGGAUGAGUGGCGAACGGGUGAGUAACACGUGAGUAACCUGCCCCCUUCUUCUGGAUAACCGCAUGAAAGUGUGGCUAAUACGGGAUAUUCUGGGUCUGUCGCAUGAUGGGUCUGGGAAAGAUGUUGUUUCGGUGGGGGAUGGGCUCGCGGCCUAUCAGCUUGUUGGUGGGGUGAUGGCCUACCAAGGCGGUGACGGGUAGCCGGCCUGAGAGGGUGGACGGUCACACUGGGACUGAGACACGGCCCAGACUCCUACGGGAGGCAGCAGUGGGGAAUAUUGCACAAUGGGCGCAAGCCUGAUGCAGCGACGCCGCGUGAGCGAUGGAGGCCUUCGGGUUGUGAACCUCUUUCGCCAGUGAAGCAGGCCUGCCUCGUUUGUGGGUGGGUUGACGGUAGCUGGAUAAGAAGCGCCGGCUAACUACGUG
rnacentral:rRNA from 1 species